GUUUCACCCUUGAUAGUAAACAGAUAUACUAGUAGUCAAAGAGAAAGGGAGGGUGGAACCAACAGCGAAGAAAUCUGUGGAGGAAAAUCUGUACAAGUGGUUGGAACUUUGAGCAUUUAGACAGGGGGUAUGUUGGAAAAGGAGAAACCCUUGUAACCCUUAUAAGCAUAGUAGGCAAUCCUCGUGUAAUAGAACCCUGGAAUAAACAAGAGAGCUCCCAACAACGAGAAAAACACCCCGUGAGCACGAUCACCACCGACUCGAUUACUGGCCAUGAAGGCACCAACGACGAUUCCAAUCAUGCCGAAAACGAGAAGAGAAACGGCAAGAGCGAUCUCCUUAAUAGGAGGCCGAUUGUUGACGGUGAACGGAGAAUCCAUCAUAAUGUCUUCGUCUGUUAUCGAAAACGCAUGAUCCACAUACGCCAUCUUUCUCUGUAUUGCCGGAGAAGAAGGUGUCGGAGCUUCGAUCUGCAGAAAAAGAGUACCGGAUUUGGUGAAGAAGGCGGCGAUGAC
rnacentral:misc_RNA from 1 species